UUUACGGGGUGCCACUGUGAGUUUGGGUUAAGAGCGGUCGUGGUUUUCCCCUUGUUUUGUUGACGCUCUAGAAGGGACUGGGUUUGGUUUGGAGAACACUGUGGUGCUCGGAUAGAAAGCGAAAGAAGAGGAUUUGGUUUCGACAACACCCAAUUUGUGGUUUUGGUGGGUUUGGCGAGAGUGAGGAUUGCAGGGGUUUGGUUUAUCUUUGGCUUUAGGAUCUUGGUGAUUGAUUGGAAAGGUUCUAAGGGGUUUGGUUUAUCUUUGGCUUUGGAGUUCCAGUGACUGAUUGGAAAGGUUGCAAGGUGUUCACAUUUGUCGUCUAUAAAUCUGUGAACCAGAGUUUCAAAUUGGAUUGAGGUUUACAAAAGCAUUAGAGUUUUAUCAAUCAUUGUCAAGCUUGAACCAGCUGCACUAUCUUAGGCUUAACGCAGAUUGGCAGUGGUGCAGUUUUUUGGCUGUUGGUUCUGUUGGGAUCAAUCCAGAUUUCCCAACUUUAUUGCUUGGUAGCUGAAUAGAAAACAGUUGAUUGAGCCUUCAAACAUUUAAAACCAAUUGCAGCUGCUGGGCAGCAAAGGGUGAAGUGUUUGGUGAAUGUGAAAGAUUUUCCAAAUAUUAUCGUUCGCUUAGCCCAGGUGAAUGGAUUUGCGGAUCCUUAUUACACCAUCGAAAUCCUAGCAAGCCAGCCCAAACAAAUAAUGAGUCAUCAGGAAUAGGAAUCUGUUAAGAAGAAAACAGUAUUUGAGUCAAGCGUCCUUCAUCCCACCACAUACCAGAUAUUCCUCUGAUCAAGAGAAGGAUAUGGCAAGGCCAUAGUAGACGUAAAGAAAGUGUUGGACCAAUUUGAUGAUUUGCUCAAUGCCGACAGCAUAAUUUUCAAAAAUGCUAGAUGCAAGGUACUUUUUAGUGAUAACUCUGUGAAGUUAUUCAAGAAACUGAUAUCGGCAUGUUUGGAGAAGUCAGCACUCAGCACUAAAUCUUCUACUGAAGCUUCAUGUGGCUACAGACCCAAGAAGUGCAGUGUAGAGAGAAGUUGUAGCAGCCCUUCACUAAUCUUGAAGAAAUUUAAGGUUAAAUCUCAUUGUUUGCACAACACAACAGACUAUUGCAUAGGAUAUGAGAUACAUUCAAAUGUUAAAGGUCUGAGACAUAUUGCCUCUGAAGGAUAUCCCAAAGUUGCAAUAGAUACUGUUUUAAACAGAUAUACAAAUGAUUUUAUGGGAACAUUUUUGUUAUCCCGCAGCAUCGCGCAGGGAGACUAUAUAGUUACUUUGGAAUGCUACUAGUAUCUUAGUAAAAUAUUAUUUUUAUUAAAAAAAGAAAAAUGAAA